rnacentral:rRNA from 1 species
AUUGAACGCUGGCGGCAGGCCUAACACAUGCAAGUCGAACGAGUGGCGGACGGGUGAGUAAUGUCUGGGAAACUGCUUGAUGGAGGGGGAUAACUACUGGUAACGGUAGCUAAUACCGCAUACCAUCAGAUGUGCUCUGAUCGGAUUAGCUUGUUGGUGGGUUAACGGAUCACCAAGGCGACGAUCCUUAGAUGAUCUGAGCGGAUGACAAGCCACACUGGAACUGAGACACGGACCAGACUCCUGCGGGAGGCAGCAGUGGGGAAUAUUGCACAAUGGGCGGAAGCCUGAUGCAGCGAUGCCGCGUGUAUGAAGAAGGCCUUCGGGUUGUAAAAUACUUUCAGCGGGGAGGCGUUACCCGCAGAAGAAGCACCGGCUAACUCCGUGCCAGCAGCCGCGGUAAUUC